GGGAACGCAGCUCAGCAUCAGAGCAUCUGCUUUGCAUGCAGAAGGUCCCUGGUUCAAGCCCCAGCAGCAUUUCCA